GAUGAACGCUAGCGGCAGGCUUAAUACAUGCAAGUCGAGGGGCAGCAUGAGUGUAGCAAUACACUUGAUGGCGACCGGCAAACGGGUGCGGAACACGUACACAACCUUCCUGUAACUGGGGCAUAACCCGGAGAAAUUCGGAUUAAUACCCCAUAGCAUAAUGAUGUGGCAUCACAUUAUUAUUAAAGAUUCAUUGGUUACAGAUGGGUGUGCGUAUGAUUAGCUAGUUGGUGUAGGUAACGGCUCACCAAGGCGACGAUCAUUAACUGG
rnacentral:rRNA from 1 species